CAAUAGCGUAUAUUUAAGUUGUUGCAGUUAAAAAGCUCGUAGUUGGAUUUUGGGUCGGGGGCACCGGUCCGCCGUUCCGGUGUGCACUGGUGGCCCCUUCCUUUCUGCCGGGGACGUGCGUCGCACUUAAUUGGGUGGCGUUCGGAGUCGGCGUUGUUACUUUGAAAAAAUUGGAGUGUUCAAAGCAAGCCAUCGCCCUGAAUACAUUAGCAUGGAAUAACAUGAUAGGACUCCGGUCUUAUUUUGUUGGUUUCCGAGACUGGAGUAAUGAUUAAGAGGGACAGUCGGGGGCAUCCGUAUUUCAUUGUCAGAGGUGAAAUUCUUGGAUUUAUGAAAGACGAACUUCUGCGAAAGCAUUUGCCAAGGAUGUUUUCAUUAA
rnacentral:rRNA from 1 species